UGCGUAGACGGCAAGAUAAGUCAAUUAUUAAAUCUCCUAGCUUAACUAGGAAUCUGUGAUUGAAACUGACUUGCUUGAGGAUGGAAGAGAGAAGUGGAAUUCUCGGAGUAGCGGUAAAAUGCGUAGAUCUCGAGAGGAACACCGAUGGCGAAGGCAGCUUCUUGGUCCAUUUCUGACGUUGAGGCACGAAAGCGUGGGGAGCAAACAGGAUUAGAUACCCUGGUAGUCCACGCUGUAAACGAUGAUCAUUAGAUGUUGGGUCCGCUUUAGGGCUCAGUGUCGCAGCUAACGCGUUAAAUGAUCCGCCUGGGAAGUACGGUCGCAAGAUUAAA
rnacentral:rRNA from 1 species